rnacentral:rRNA from 1 species
AGUGAACGCUGGCGGUAGGCCUAACACAUGCAAGUCGAACGGCAGCACAGUAAGAGCUUGCUCUUACGGGUGGCGAGUGGCGGACGGGUGAGGAAUACAUCGGAAUCUACCUUUUCGUGGGGGAUAACGUAGGGAAACUUACGCUCAUACCGCAUACCACCUACGGGUGAAAGCAGGGGAUCUUCGGACCUUGCGCGAUUGAAUGAGCCGAUGACGGAUUGGCUAGUUGGCGGGGUAAAGGCCCACCAAGGCGACGAUCCGUAGCUGGUCUGAGUGGAUGAUCGGCCACACGGGAGCUGGAACACGGUCCAGACUCCUGCGAGAGGGAGCAGUGGGGAAUAUUGGACAAUGGGCGCAAGCAUGGUCCAGCCGUACCGCGUGGGUGAAGAAGGCCUUCGGGUUGUAAAGCCCGUUUGUUGGGAAAGAAAAGCAGCAGGUUAAUACCCCGCUAUACUGACGGUACUCAAAGAAUAAGCACCGGCUAACUUCGUG